GAUUUUUUUUUGAAAAAAGUAGUUAACACGAUUUGAAAACGUGUCCUAUAGAAAACAACAUGGGAACCUAUAGAAAUGUUUUAAAUCAAUAAUUAACCCCAAAUUUUAUUUUGAUUCCAUCACCAACCAUCGAUCCACCGUCGUUGUUUGGCCGUCGUGACGUACACCGUCACCACCAAUGUGUUUGUCGUCGACUCGUGUUUUAAACCCCUUUAAACCCUCGCUGUAAAUCGACGUCGUUAAGCGUGAAUCGACAUUUGAAGCUUCAACGAAAACUCACGGGUAACCUCGAUUUUUGCGGAUUUCGUUGAUCCCGACGUUGUUUCGUUACACCGCCGUCACUGUUGGACUCUUGGUCUAGUUUCGGUUAGAACCCAACCAAUUUUGCUCCUCCCUGUGGCCUCGUAGUCAAAUCCAUUAUUGACCGUCGUGGGGAGUGAUCAGUCAACUUCAAUAGCCUCCGUCGUUGUUACAUGUGCCUCCACGCGCCGCCUGGGACCGUGGGCUUCUCGGUUGGCACAGAAAAACCUUUGAACUGGUCUGAUUAUACACAAUAAUGAAAUCGAACCAGGCUGCCUUAGACAGAACCGAUCUGUUUUGAACUGGAUCAAACGAAUCUAGUCAACUUGCACCGAUUUAACUCACGCUGAUAUAAUCUUUUGAUUUUGAUCAGAGUUGACUUUGACGUUGAUCAAAAAAUCAUUUUUUAAAAAUUAUAUUUUAUAUUUUUUGAUGUCCUGAGUCUAAAUCCAAAGUUUAUUUCGUCAAAUUUGAAUCCGAUAAGUUAUUUUCAGCGUUUAUUUUUCGAUUCGAAUCGUAUUCCCGAUUAAGUUUUGUUUCUAACGUAAUUUGUUUUGCUAUGUAUCUGAGAUAUUAUGGAAUAUUAAAUUCAAGUUUGAGAGUGAUCGAAUGAAGACUAAAUGGUCGAUCGACGUGGCAUGAAAAACGAGGUUAAAGAAUCGAUAUUGUGCAGUAUCGACAUCAAUAUGAGAGUUCUUUCGACGUUGCUUGUAGAAUAUGAUACCCUUAUAAUUAGGGGGCAUGUAGGUCA